rnacentral:lncRNA from 1 species
GGAAGUGGGGGUUAUUGGGAAUUAAAAGAAAGCUUCUUCCAUUCUUUUGAGACAGAACAACCAAUGGGAAAGUGGGGAGACAGGGCAGAGCGGGUCCAUCCCAUGGCCUGCCCGGGGUUUAGGAGGGAAGCAGGUGGCCAGGGAGGGCAUUCAGCAGAAGGAACAGUGGGGGCUCCGGAUAUGGCUUCUGAUCACCCAGGCAUAAUUUAGUGGGACAUUUCACGAUGUGGAGUCCGGUAGUGAAUGGGUAAUUAUUCUACCUUUCAGUUUCAGGUUUGACCUCUGGCACACACCGACCCCAGGAAAAAUUUGGAAGCCUCCAGGCAAUGACCUGUUUUUCAAUGAGAACAUAUUUACAUCCAGCUGGAAUACAUCAAGACAAGCCAUUUCUCUUAUAGCCCCAUUCUUGCCAAAAGACUGGAAAAUAACUUAUUAGAGAGUCCAGCAUCUCAAGAGCCACAACAACAGCUGCACUGAAUAUAGAGCACACAGAAUGACUGGACACUGUGAAACUGGCUUGACGGAAACCAAUGCAGCGAUAAUUCCAGGCCUCACUUUGAUCUUUUCAGCUGAGCGUACAGCUUCCGUACAGUGAUACUGGCCCUUUAGCCAGCUGGCAAUGGAUUCAUGGAAAAUUCCUGUGUCCAGGGUGCCUCCCUGGCCACUUGCAAAGGACCAUCAUGGCUCGAGUCUGAGUGACACGAAAACCAUCCGUUUUGAUUGUGAAAGUAGGAAGGGGAGAUCUUUCCGGUUAAGCUGUUUGUCUUGA